rnacentral:rRNA from 1 species
GCAAGUCUUCCGCGAGGAGGCGAAAGGCUGAGUAACACGUAGGUAACCUGCCUUCAGGAGGGAAAUAACCUCGGGAAACUGAGGAUAAUGUCCCAUAGGCUUAGGAUACUGGAAUGUUCCUAAGUUGAAAGCUCACUUUUUGAAGGCUAAAUAGCUAUCCAAUCGGGUAGUUAGGCAACCUUCAGAAAGUGCCGGCGCCUGAAGAUGGGCCUGCGGCCUAUCAGGUUGUUGGUAGUGUAAUGGACUACCAAGCCUUCGACGGGUAGGGGCAGUGAGAGCUGGAGCCCCCAGACGGGUACUGAGACACGGACCCGAGCCCUACGGGGUGCAGCAGGCGCGAAACCUCCGCAAUGCACGCAAGUGUGACGGGGGGAUCCCAAGUGUCCUUGCUUUGCAAGGACUUUUCUCAAGUGUAAAUAGCUUGAGGAAUAAGGGCUGGGUAAGACGGGUGCCACUUGCUUGCGGAGCAAGGAAAUUUGCUCAUGCAAGUGAGCAUUAGCCGCCGCGGUAAUACCCGCAGCUCGAGUGGUCUGGAGUUUUACUGGGUCUAAAGCGUUCGUAGCCGGGUUUGUAAGUUCUCUGUGAAAUCUGGCGGCUCAACCGUCAGGCGGGCAGAGGAUACUGCAGACCUUGGGACCGGAGUGGGCCAAGGGUACUCCCGGGGUAGGGGUGAAAUCCAAUAAUCCUGGGGGGACCACCUGUGGCUAAGGCGCUUGGCUAAGACGGGUCCGACGGUGAGGGACGAAAGCUAGGGGAGCGAACGGGAUUAGAUACCCCGGUAGUCCUAGCCGUAAAUGAUGCAGACUAGGUGUUGCAUUCUUCUCGUGAGGAUGCAGUGCCGAAGGGAAGCCGUUAAGUCUGCCACCUGGGAAGUACGGUCGCAAGGCUGAAAUGCAGUCAGCAAGCUGACUUAUUUGCUGCUGUGCAGCAAACUUAAAGGAAUUGACGGGGGAGCACCACAAGGGGUGUAGUCUGCGGUUCAAUUGGAUUCAACGCCGGG